AAAGUAACUCAAAGCAAAAAAAGGAUCAGAAUUGACAUGUAUAAAAAAGUCAUGUAUUUUUUCAUGGCCAUGAAACAUUAUAUAUCCUAUCAGAAACAGAAGCAUUCAGAAAAAUCAAAAGCUUUAAAGGGUUAAAUCAAGAAAUGCAAUAAAGAUCCAUGCCAAUUUUAUCAAUCAGCAUCACAAAGUGUAGAUUCGCGUUUG